rnacentral:rRNA from 1 species
UAUUGGACAAUGGGGGCAACCCUGAUCCAGCGACGCCGCGUGUGUGAAGAAGGCCUGCGGGUUGUAAAGCACUUUUAGUGGGGAUGAAAAGCCGAGGGCUAAUACCUUUCGGUCUUGACCUAACCCAAAGAAAAAGCACCGGCUAACUCUGUGCCAGCAGCCGCGGUCAUACGUAGGACCCAAGCGUUAUCCGGAGUGACUGGGCGUAAAGAGUUGCGUAGGUGGUUAGUAAAGUGAAUAGUGAAAUCUGGCGGCUCAACCGUACAGGCUAUUAUUCAAACUCACUAACUCGAGAAUGGUAGAGGUAACUGGAAUUUCUAGUGUAGGAGUGAAAUCCGUAGAUAUUAGAAGGAACACCAAUGGCGUAGGCAGGUUACUGGACCAUUUCUGACACUGAGGCACGAAAGCGUGGGGAGCGAAC